CCUACAGGGUUAUGCUGCUUUGCUUUGCAAUAACAUUCAAGGUGCAUUCAAUUUGUUCAGAGUGGUGUUCAUGUUAAAUGUGUUGCCAUCAUCCCAGGAUGCUUAAAAUCUUGAUAUUACUGUAAUUUAUUGUGCUCUCUCUCUCUCUCUCUCUCUCUCUCUAUCUCUCCCUCUCUUCCCCUUCUUUGAAUCUCAUUUGCCUCUGUGAGGUUCUAUGGUCCUAGAAGAGCAGCCACAUGUGAGCUUUACCAUGGUGGCCAGACAAAAGUGGUGUGGCGCUGACCAGCCCCCCCACGUCUUGAGACAGCCCUGGGUGCCCUUUAAACAUGCCGUGAUUAUCCAAGGCUGGUUCAGCCAAGGUAUAAAAGAUGAAAUGAUAAACAAAGCAUUGUGAAAAAAAUAGUAAAGGCAACAACAGUGUGGGAAAAUGCAGAGAACAUAAACUCUGAGUAGUACGUUGGUUGGGGGGCUGGGGCUGGUGGAUGACCACUCCCAUUUCCCACUUCAUGAAGAGUUGACUGUUCUGCCUUACAGAGAGGUCAGGAAGAGGAAUGUUUGCUGGGAACAUUUGUUUCUUAUUUUCUCAGAGGAAUAACUCCUAGGCGGUAGCUGGAAAAUCUCAUCUGCUAGAGAUCAGCUGCCAGACAUUUGUCUGAAAUGUCAAGGGCCAGGUGAUCAUUGGGGGAGGUUUGGGGUGGAGGUUUGAAGGUCUGCAACGUGCUGGCUUAACCGAAGAGACACAAGCGACAUGCGUCCAUGGCCGACGGUCAACUUCGCAAACCUGAUGGACCCUUCUAGUGCAAGCGACCAAGACCAUUCAGCUCUGUAUGAGAAGGUUUCUUCCUUCUAGGGAAUUUUUCCUUGCCACUGUCGCCUAUGGCUUACUCACUGGGGGCUUUGGGUGAGGAUACUGUAAAGCGCUUUGAGACAAUGUAAUGUUGUGAUAAUGCGCUAUAUAAAAAUAAAUUUGUUGUUGUUUGUGGUUCUUUGUAAACUCCGCUGUUCAGUGGUGACACUCUCUGAGGUACGCAGACUGGGGAGUGGACAGAUCUCUUUAAGCGGGAACACCUAUUAUUGGCUUGGUCACCCUGAUGGCUGCCAUACUCAGGGAGUAGCUGUUGCUGUAGCGGAUCGGCUGAUGGACUGAUGUCACUCCUUUCAAUGAGCGUAUUAUGAGGCUCAGAUUAGGGCAUUCUCUGGGUGUUUUGUCUGUUGUCGUAGUGUAUGCUCUGACCACAGUGACUGAUGUAUCGGUGAGGGAGACAUUUGAUUUGCAACUUCACUCAGUGGUUGAUGUUUGGUCAUGGGUGACUUCAGUGCAGCCAAUGACAAUGACAGGGCUGGCGAUGAGGACCCACAAGUCUGUGGUGAAAGUGGACCCAUGUUCCUAGACUUUGCAAAAUAUCAGGAGCUGUCGCUGGAUCUCGGUUCCAGUGCCCAGGGCUGCAUGGUUGGACUUGGUAUCCAAUACUGGUGGUAAGUCAAUCACAUCCUCGUGGGCAGAUGCUGGAGGCUCCUGCAGAACUGCAGGGUCUACAGAAGUGCUCAGUUUGUGAAUUCUGACCAUAGACUUGUUGUUGCUACUCUGAAGAUACAGUUUAGGUCCAGUUAGCUACUCCCCACUGGGAGAAUACGGCUGGAUCAGGCCAGACUCCAAUAUCAGGCUGUUCCUACUGAGUUUGCAUGCAGUUUGUGUGAGGAACUUCCAGACUUGGGUGUGACUGCUGACUCUAAUGUAAUGUGGGAGACCUUCUGUGACAAGACUCUGAAAGUUGCUGAGGACUGUGUUGGUGUUGCUGGUGUUCUCAAAAGGAGGUGUUUCAUCUCACAGGGCACCCAGGUUAUUAUCUAAAGAAUUUGCAGUGCACAGCUUGAUAACAACUCCAGUCUCUACCGGGAACUGAGAAGGACGGCUGCAAGGACUCUGCGGACAGAUGAGGAGGCAUUUGUAAGAGGGACCUGUGAGCAAGUGACGCACCAUCUAUGGUCUAGUAACCAACGUCCUGAUUAUAGAGGGAUCGAAGCAUGACGCACAUUCUAAUCUGUUCCUCGGAGAGUUGGGGAGGGGGGGUCAUGGAAUCCUCCUCUGGCUAAGAUUGCGGACAACUCUGGGUCCAUAGUUUUUGAGGCAGAUCCUCCGAUUAGUUGUGAACCACCCAAUCUCUUUGAGAUUGCACAGCUGGUGAACCAACUGAGGGUGGGGAAUGAUGCAGGGAUUUGUGGUUUCCAGCGUGACCUUCUCUAAACUGUCCACCUGGCAUUACAAGCAGUCUUUGCUUCCAUUUCAGAGAUGGGAAUCAUCCCAAAUGACUGGAAAAUGGGACUUGUUGUGGAAAGGGAAUGGUGAUUGCCUGGAUUGUGGCAACUACUGGAGGUUAACACUGCUCUCAGUGCUGGGCAAGGUCCUUGCUACAGUCAUCCUCAAUAGGAUCCAAGAUCAUUUGCUGACCUACCAGUGACCGGAGCAGUCUAGUUUUAUGUCUAAGAAACCAACCAUUGACCAUCUCCUGUUGGUAGGUUUUAUCAAGCACAAAUGUGAAUGUUGAUAGAGUUUUUUUUAAAAAUAUUUCAACUCAGUUGAUCACAGGAUCCCCUGAAGUUGCUGGAUGUCAUGGCCGGCCUGUACAUUGUACUGUGAGUGCUGUGCAGAGUGGAGGCAGAACCUCUGCGUUCUUCGCGGUUUAUUCUGGAGUUUGUCAGGGGUGUGUUCUUGCUUCUAGUCUAUUGAAUGCAUGCAUGAACUGGAGGUUGGGCAGGGUCGUGGGGUCCAGCGACUGUGGGUCAUCUGUUGUUGAAGAAAGAUUCACUGAUCUUGACUUUGCCAAUGAUGCUGUGAUCUUCAUAGAGUCAAUGAAGGCUUUGAUUGGGGCUCUCAAGAGACCGAACGAGGAGUCUGAGUGUCUGGGCUUGCAAGUGUCCAAGAUAAAAACCAAGAUCCAAGCCUUUGAUGGCCUCUUGGACACAACCAUCAGCAGUGUGUCCGUCUAGGGAGAGAAUGUCGACUGUGCUGAGAGGUUCUCUUACCUUGGCAGCGACAUGCAUGUCUCUGGUGACUCUUCCUGUGAAGUCAGUAGAUGUAUUAGGAGAGCAUGGGGGGGGUGAUGAGAUCGUUGGAAAGGGGUGUAUGGUGCUCCUGAUAUCGUUGUAAGAGGAUGAAGGUCGAAGUCUUUGCAGUAUGGCUGCAAGAUGACGGCUGCAAGAUGUGGACACUACCUACAGUAGUGACCUGUGACAAAGAUUGGACUCCACUGGGACUGUAUCUCUUCAGAGAAUCGUUAGUUUGACUUUGUGUUGAAUGAGUGGUUGCUCAGGGAGUCCUGAAUGAGGCAGAUUACCUACAUUGUGAGGGAGCGUCAGUUACGGCACUUCAGGCAUGUGGCGUGAUUCCCUGAGGGUGACCCAGCUGACAGGAUCCUCAUUGCUGAUGCCUGUGUAACACCUGGCGGCUGCAGACAGAUCUCAAGGUGUUUCGCUGUGUGGUGGGUGCGGCAAUGUGGUGUUCGAAGUGCAUUCUCUCCAAGCUCUCAAAAAAGAUCUCAAAAACAACAAAAAAUGGACAAAAUGAGAAUCAGAAAUUUGUUUUUCAUUUGACCUGGAUGUGGUGACAAAUCACUGUGGGGUGAAGAAGAUCGCAGAGUGUCUCUGUGACUUCUGUCUUCCUACUACACUCCAAAGGCAUUUUUCUCAAAGGCAGCUUUUCCACCGCACCAGGCAAUAUACCAAAGAGAAAGUACCAAAAGUACGGUACUUCAAGGUGUUGGUUUUCCCCUAGUGUAAAAAUUGGUACUGGCGCCGAAUGACAUCACAACGUGAGGCGAGGUAUUUUGUACUGAAUUCGAAAGAUGGCUGUAGUAUAUUAUAGGGUUGGAUGAUGUACGAUAGGAAUAGCCUACCAACAUUACAUGUUAUGCAUGUGUAACUCUUACAUCGCUAGUAAACUAACUUAAGAUCAGGUUUUUUCUUUCAGUUCUGCAGGAACAUUAUAGUGCAGGGAGUUUUGUUAAAAUAUUUUCGCUAAAAUUAUUUUAUUUUAUUGAGUGCUGCAUGUGUUCUCUGAGACAUUCAUAAUCAUUUUCAUCUUUGCUGUUUAAAUUAUUUGAAGAUGGGCUCCUGAGAAAUUUAUGAACUCUAUGCUCUUGUUUUAUAAAUACCCAAAUACCAAGAAGUAGGGUGUGGAUAAUAGUAAGGGCUGGGAGACACAGUGUGGUGUUUACUUAUCGUGCUUCUCCACUCUGCAUGCUCCCCACCUCCCACCUCCUUGGAAAAAGUGCUUUAGAUGAAAGGGGUUUAAAUCACUGUUGCUGCUAGACUUGGAGGAAUUAAAAUGCACUCAUGUUUAACAAACAGAGAGCCUGCCUGAGCAGGACGUCAGUCUCACCACUGGAACGGAGAGCUAGUGACUAUGGAGAGUCUCCUGAACAGAUUGCCUAGGACUCACAUAAGCCACGCGAGCAGGAUUCAGUGCUGGGUGACUGAGGCAAAAUAAAAGUCUGUUCGGUUUCAUUAUGCUAAUUUGCUACAGAUAUUCUUUUAUCAUUUAAACUUGGUGACAGUUUUGGACCAAAAUCCACAUGGAAUCUAUUGAUUAAAUGGCAUAAUGUUUAUUGAAGGAGAUUCAGGCAUGAAUGCAUUAUUGCAAAAAUAAAUAAAUUAAUUAAUUACAGGAAACAAUAAGAUAAUUUUUAUUCAUGCAAUAACAACAAAGUGUGCAGUAAUGUUUUCACAAUAUUCCCCAGCACUCGACUCAAUUAAAUCUUAUUUAUUUAAAAUAUUUUUCUGAAGUAUUAUGUAAUGUCAUGGUCCAACUGGGAAUCCACCUUGCACCAGCAGGGGGCGAUCUGCACCACGCGGCUGGAUAGAAUCAACGGCUGGUUCAUUCUAGUUAGUCUGGAAACCACCUGCUGGGAAUGUUAAGCCGGCAAGGUUGGUGGAAAUGGGCCCAACCAGGAUGUGAGUUUGCCUCGCUCAGUGGAGCAGAUUGUUGGGGAGAAUUUAAAGAGUAAACAAGUUGGUUUCUCAGGGGCCAGGAAUAGACUCCCUGGCGGAUGUCCCCCCAUGACCUCUUUCGCUGGCCGCUUCCCAGUCACCUCAGCUCAGAUUCACCACCACUAGUGGUAUGUUUUCCAGCCACUCUUUACAUAAAUCAUACGGCUUACGGGAAUUCGUUCUCAUUCUUGCCUCACAGGUCCCCUUUCCCACACAAUCCUUAAAACGGAGCUGGCUGUGUAGCGGCCCGUGUCGGCCUACGUCAGGAGGUCCGGAAACAGGACCUAAAGGCAACGCCUAACUAUCCACAUCGAUCUGCUGUAUAUAUUUACACAGCGGUGAGCGGAGAGGUACAAGCAGUAAUAAGGUAGAGUCAGUGAGCCCCCUCCGCAAUUGGUUAAUCGAUGGCUGUGUUUAUUGACGGCUUAUUUUAACAGCCUUUUGCAGACGUGGCGGCUGCUCAUAUAUCUCAGCCAUUUCCAUCUGCGGGUCGCAGGCGAUCGAUCCACUUCCGUGCGCCCGCCCCCGUCCUGGAACCGGGAACCUGAAAUGCGAAUCCACUGCCACUGGGUCUUCCCAGCUCACCUUCUGAUCCACCAGCAGCCAAGACAGAGCGAGCACCUUCCCCAAAAUCGAGACGCGACUAGAGGGCCACCGUCCACCUUGCUGUAUGACAUUUAAUCCGACUGCAAACUAAGAGCAGUUAUGCAUUGGUGGGUUUUUGUUGAAUCCUUGGUAAAAACCAAAUCAAUUCUCAUGGAAAUGUUUUUCCAAUUUAGAUCCAAAAGAAAGUAUCAUAAAAUUGUCUCUAAAAGCACUAAAAUUAUAUUUCUAAAGUACAAACUAUUCUCCUAAUCAACAGUUACUUUUGGAUCAACAGUAACACAUUUUAUUGUUUCCACUUACAGAAUAAUUGAGAUUCUUCUUGGGUAUGUAAACAUAAUGUCGUGUCUCUUGUAGAGAAUUCAAUAAGCCUGUUCUAGUUUGCAAAACAAGGGUUUGAUUUUUGUAUUUGAGCACCAUCAGUGCAUUAAAAACAUUCUAAAAUUAUUUUAUUUUAUUGAGUGCUGCAUGCGUUCUCCGAGACAUUCAUGAUCAUUUUCAUUGAGAUUCUCACCGCAUGGUCACCCCAGAGUCCCAGAGGGUCUGCUGCCAGUUUCCGUCAGACUGAUGGUGACCUCUCCCUCUCGCUUCCUCCCUUGCAGGAAAAAGGAAUGGUGGAGCCGGGAUUUGGAAGAGUGACGUGCAGAUGGACUGUGAACGUCUUUCACAACAGAGUCACCUCAAGGCACUUUAGACAAGAAUGUGUGACAAUCCAUUAUCACGUCAUUUAACGGUGGAGGGAACAGGGCAACGGAGAGAGGGAACGAAUGAAAGCCAGAAGACAGUGGAGGACAGGAACGAAAAACUCCCAAACUGAGGACCAAACAAGCAGUUCAUAUGAACCUAAAACACGCACCACUGGAAUGGGCCAGAUGCACUCUCCUUCCUCAGUUGUAGAAGGAGGACUAAAAUUAGCAGCAACUUGGCUUUCUAAAGCGAUGGAGGUGAUGGUGAUGCGGCAGGCCGGACCAGCAGGUGACGUGGACCAGGCGGUGAGCCCCAAGCUCGUCCUCGCAGUCGCCUGUUAGGGUUCAUUUGUCAAGCACAGCUGGGACCUCGAGAUGCAGAUGGAGUGUGGCGUUACGUUUGUGGGGGGGCUGGUCCUGCUCACCUGCGGGUGGCAAGAUAAUUACCAUCAGUCCCAUUAGGGAUAGGAACUACCCCCUGAGGUAAUAGUGCGCAAACGUCAAAGUUUAAUUUUCUCCCAGGACAUGGACUGUGAAAUCACAUCUGAGCGGGGGGGGGGAUAAACUCUCUUUAAUUCCUUUCUAGAUUACUGGGUCCUGCUCACCUCACACCUCACACUUUCUGAUGCAACAAGAUUAAAUAUACAAUCUAAAAAUGCUGCUGAUUCAUAGAUUUCAAAUCGCUACACUCAGUAAUCGAUGUUGUUUGCCUUGCCGAAAAAAUACACCCAGGAAAAAAAUGCACUGUGAAAGUCUGACAAAAAAAUUGUAAAGCUUACAGUUAAACCUUAAUUAUUCAUAGUUGUACUAUAUAGUUUACAGUUCGACCAUGAAUGUUUCAUAGCAGACCUGUUAACUCUUGUUUUACUUUGAAGUUCAUGAUCGCCUGUUCUGGUGUUUGAUGAUUCUGAUAGUUAAGUUUGUAGAUUUCAUACCAGAACUUUGAAAAGGGUACCAAUUCACUGUAAAAAAAAUCUUGGUCGAACUGUGAAAGUACAUAGUAAAACUGUCAAACAAGUUUUACUAUGAAAUUUCACAGUGCAUUUUUGACAGGCAUAAAUGAGGCUUAUUAAUGAAGUUCUAUUGCAUUUAAUUAUUUGUAGGCGAUUUUUUUCUUGAUUGUCCAUCGCUGCAUUCUUGGCAAUGCUCCAGGUUCCGCCAUCCAUGUUCCAGCUGAUACUCAAGAAAUUCAGUGAAUGUCCACAGGUAGUUGACUUGGGGAGCCAUUGGCUUCUACUUGACCUAUGCUGGACCAGUGGUCUCAACAAGAGAGGGACACACUCUCGCUGAAGGCUCAUUAACUGCCUCAGAUUGAUCAUCUCUGCCUGCAAACUCCUGCCAGUUAUCUCCAAGGUAACACCAUCUUAUUUUCACCGCAAGUAAACUGAGAAGUUUUCCUCAGUCCCUCAUUAGGGGGAAAAUGUUGCCUGAGAAAGCGGUUAUCUCUGAAAUGUUAUUCCACGCAUACUUCUGCACAGAGGUUUAAUUGCUCUGGCUCCUGUAUGAAUUAUAAACACUAAAGAUAACGUAGUAUCCAUUAUGGUGAUAGACUCGCUGCAUGCAUUACGUGGAAAGACGGGCUGCUAAUGUCAUAGCCUACUCUUUCAUGAACCGGAAUGAACGAGAAGAUUAACAGACCAAGAAACAGCGGGGGGUUUGUUUUUUCACAUCAAGAUGAAGAUAUGUCAAGUUAGAAAACAUUUGUUUGCUUGCAUGUGCAUGUCUUUGUGUUUGUACUCGUGAGAGCAUCAGAACUAAAAUGAAAAUGAAGUGUGAGCAUGUAAAAAUCAAGGUAGGGGUUGGGCGUUUCAGUCAGAGGUGGAGAUUUCAGGUCCAGAGAGUACGAAUCCAGACCAGAAUUUUUUUU